rnacentral:rRNA from 1 species
CUUCGCUGACGAGUGGCGGACGGGUGGGUAAUGUCUGGGAAACUGCCUGACGGAGGGGGAUAACUACUGGAAACGGUAGCUAAUACCGCAUAACGUCGCAAGACCAAAGAGGGGGACCUUCGGGCCUCUUGCCAUCGGAUGUGCCCAGAUGGGAUUAGCUAGUAGGUGGGGUAACGGCUCACCUAGGCGACGAUGCGUAGCCGACCUGAGAGGGUGACCGGCCACACUGGGACUGAGACACGGCCCAGACUCCUACGGGAGGCAGCAUG